GACGAACGCUGGCGGCGUGCUUAACACAUGCAAGUCGAACGGAAAGGCCCUGCUUUUGUGGGGUGCUUGAGUGGCGAACGCGUGAGUAACACGCGAGUAACCUGCCCUUGACUUUGUGAUAACUUCAGGAAACUGGGGCUAAUACCGGAUAGGAUCUCCUGCUGCAUGGUGGGGGUUGGAAAGUUUCGGCGGUAGGGGCUAGAUUGGCGGCUUAUCGGCUUGUUAGUGAGGUAGUGGCUUACCAAGGCUUUGACGGGUAGCCGGCCUUAGAGGGUGACCGGCCACAUGGGGCCUGAGAGACGGACCAGACGCGUACGGGAGGCAGCAGUGGGGAAUAUUGCACAAUGGGCGGGAGCCUGAUGCGGCGGCGUUGGGUGCGGGAUGACGGCCUUUGGGGUAUAAACCGAUUUGGCCUGUGACGAGGCGUGAGUGACGGUAAUUGGUAAGGAAGCACCGGCUAACUACGUG
rnacentral:rRNA from 1 species